rnacentral:rRNA from 1 species
UGGGGAAUCUUGGACAAUGGGCGCAAGCCUGAUCCAGCCAUGCCGCGUGGAUGAUGAAGGCCUUAGGGUUGUAAAAUCCUUUCGCCGAGGACGAUAAUGACGGUACUCGGAGAAGAAGCUCCGGCUAACUUCGUGCCAGCAGCCGCGGUAAUACGAAGGGGGCUAGCGUUGUUCGGAUUUACUGGGCGUAAAGCGCGUGUAGGCGGGUUGGAAAGUUGGGGGUGAAAUCCCGAGGCUCAACCUCGGAACUGCAUCCAAAACUUCCAGCCUGGACUCAAGUAGAGGCAAGUGGAAUUGCGAGUGUAGAGGUGAAAUUCGUAGAUAUUCGCAGGAACACCAGUGGCGAAGGCGACUUGCUGGACUUGUAGUGACGCUGAGACGCGAAAGCGUGGGGAGCAAACAGGAUUAGAUACCCGUGUAGUCCCUGAGCGGGCUGGCAAGGCGCAU